rnacentral:rRNA from 1 species
UGCCUGUACCAUAACCGACACAGGUGGGUAAGUAGAGUAUACUAAGGGGCGCGAGAUAACUCUCUCUAAGGAACUCGGCAAAAUAACUCCGUAACUUCGGGAGAAGGAGUGCCUUAUUCUUAAGGUUGCAAUAACAAGAUCCAAGCAACUGUUUAUCAAAAACACAGGUCUCCGCUAAGUCGUAAGACGAUGUAUGGGGGCUGACGCCUGCCCAGUGCCAGAAGGUUAAAGAAGUCGGUUAGCAAUAGCAAAGCUGGUAACUGAAGCCCAGGUGAACGGCGGCCGUAACGAUAACGGUCCUAAGGUAGCGAUAUUCCUUGUCGGGUAAGUUCCGACCCGCACGAAAGGCGUAAUGAUUUGGAUGCUGUCUCGGAGAGGGGCUCGGUGAAAUAGACUUGUCUGUGAAGAUGCGGACUACCUGCACCAGGACAGAAAGACCCUAUGAAGCUUUACUGUAACUUGAAAUUGAAAUUGGACUUUAUUCGCGCAGUAUAGGUGGGAGGCGUUGAUUAUAAUCUUGUGGGAUUAUUGGAGCCAUCAGUGAGAUACCACUCUUGUAAUGUUAGAUUUCUAACUUUGAAUCAUUAUCUGGUCAAAGGACAGUUUCAGGCGGGCAGUUUGACUGGGGCGGUCGCCUCCUAAACGGUAACGGAGGCGUACAAAGGUUUCCUCUGAACGGUUAGAAAUCGUAUCUAGAGUGUAAAGGCAUAAGGAAGCUUGACUGUGAGACCUACAAGUCGAGCAGGGACGAAAGUCGGUCUUAGUGAUCUGACGGUACUGAGUGGAAAGGCCGUCACUCAACGGAUAAAAGUUACUCUAAGGAUAACAGGCUGAUCUCCCCCAAGAGUUCACAUCGACGGGGAGGUUUGGCACCUCGAUGUCGGCUCAUCGCAUCCUGGGGCGGUAGUACGUCCCAAGGGUUGGGCUGUUCGCCCAUGAAAGCGGUACGCGAGCUGGGUUCAGAACGUCGUGAGACAGUUCGGUCCAUAUCCGGUGUAGGCGCUAGAAUAUUGAGAGGAGCCUUCUUUAGUACGAGAGGACCGAGAAGGACAUACCUCUGGUGUACCAGUUAUCGUGCCAACGGUAAACGCUGGGUAGCUAUGUAUGGAGUGGAUAACCGCUGAAAGCAUCUAAGUGGGAAGCCCACCUCAAGAUAAGUAUUCUCAUCACGUAAGUGAGUAAGGUCACGGUAAGACUAACCGUUUGAUAGGCAUUAAGUGUAAGUACAGUAAUGUAUGUGCUGAGAUGUCCUAAUAGACCGAGGACUC